rnacentral:rRNA from 1 species
AACGAACGCUGGCGGCACGUUUUAAGCAUGCAAGUCGAAUGGCAGUGGGGGCAACCCCAUGAGAAUGGCGAACGGGGGAGUAACACGUAGGUGCGCUGCCUGACGGAUGGGGAGAGCUUGCGGAAACACAGGGUAAUACACAAUGAGCUGACGAGACUUUGGUUGUGUUAGUAAAGGUGCUACGGCACCGCGAACAGAGGAGGCUGCGGCUGAGUAGCUAGUUGGUGGGGUAAAGGACUACCAAGGCGACGAGCAGUAGCCGGCCUGAGAGGGUGUACGGCAACACUGGAACUGAGACACGGUCCAGACUCCUACGGGAGGCAGCAGCUAAGAAUCUUCCGCAAUGGGCGAAAGCCUGACGGAGCGAUGCCGCGUGAUCGAUGAAGGUCGAGGGAUUGUAAAGAUCUUUUCUACAUGAGGAAUAAGUCUGGGAGGGAAUGCCUGGAUGAUGACGUUAGUGUAGGAAUAAGCCCCGGCUAAUUACGUGCCAGCAGCCGCCGUAA